AGCGGAGUAGCUUGCGAGAGCUGCUGCUGCUGGGGACGUUCCCUGAAUCUGCCUGCCUGCCGUUUGCCCACCACACUGCCCUCUGGCUGCAUUUUAUUCUUCUGUUCUGCAUUAACAAAGGCUGCAAAUGGACCAGAUUAUUUGCCUGAUCCCAACCCCAGCCAUUCUCACAUCAUGCUAUGCAGAGGAUGGUCAGCAUCGUAUCCAGCUAUGAGUUACCAGCUUGAUGCAGCGGUAAAGAAUGUCCUAGUGACUAGAAGAAGGCUUAUCAAUAGCUGAAAUGUGCUUCUUAUAGCUUCUUUGGAUCGGACUUCAUUCAUCCAGAGCUCCAUAGGACGCUUUUACUGCACCCUUUCCCAAUAUUAUAGUCAGUGGAUUGGACUUCUAUAAAUAUGAGGCUUAUUGUAUGAAUUCCUUACGUAUUG